rnacentral:rRNA from 1 species
CCUACGGGUGGCAGCAGUGAGGAAUAUUGGUCAAUGGGCGCGAGUCUGAACCAGCCAAGUAGCGUGAAGGAUGACUGCCCUACGGGUUGUAAACUUCUUUUAUAAAGGAAUAAAGUGUUGCACGUGUGCCUUUUUGUAUGUACUUUAUGAAUAAGGAUCGGCUAACUCCGUGCCAGCAGCCGCGGUAAUACGGAGGAUCCGAGCGUUAUCCGGAUUUAUUGGGUUUAAAGGGAGCGUAGGUGGAUUGUUAAUCCAGUUGUGAAAGUUUGCGGCUCAACCGUAAAAUUGCAUUUGAUACUGGCAGUCUUGAGUACAGUAGAGGUAGGCGGAAUUCGUGGUGGAGCGGUGAAAUGCUUAGAUAUCACGAAGAACUCCGAUUGCGAAGGCAGCCUACUAAACUGCCACUGACAUUGAGGCUCGAAAGUGUGGGUAUCAAACAGGAUUAGAUACCCCAGUAGUC